rnacentral:tRNA from 1 species
GGAGAGGUGCCCGGAGCGGCUUAUCGGGGACCACCGCAAGGAGGUCGGGCCUCACAGCCCGCGCAGGUUCGAAUCCUGCCCUCUCCG